CCUACGGGCGGCAGCAGUGAGGAAUAUUGGUCAAUGGGGGAAACCCUGAUGCAGCGACGCCGCGUGUGGGAAGACGGUCCUCUGGAUUGUAAACCACUGUCCCCAGGGACGAAGAUGACGGUACCUGGGGAGGAAGCUCCGGCUAACUACGUGCCAGCAGCCGCGGUAAUACGUAGGGAGCGCGCGUUGUCCGGAAUUACUGGGUGAAAAGGGAGCGUAGGCGGGGAUGCAAGUCGGGGGUCAAAACUACCGGCUCAACUGGUAGUCGCACUCAAAACUGCAGCUCUUGAGUGAAGUAGAGGCAGGCGGAAUUCGUAGUGUAGCGGUGAAAUGCGUAGAUAGUAGGAGGAACACCAGUGGCGAAGGCGGCCUGCUGGGCUUUUACUGACGCUGAGGCUCGAAAGUGUGGGGAGCAAACAGGAUUAGAUACCCCAGUAGUC
rnacentral:rRNA from 1 species